rnacentral:sRNA from 1 species
GCUCUGCAGAGGGACCUGGAGCUGCAGGCGGCCUCCAGCCGGGAACUCAUCCGGAAGUACUUCUGCAGCCGAAUCCAGCAGCAGGCAGAAACCACCUCUGAGGAGCUGGGGGCUGUGACAGUCAAGGCCUCCUACCGCGCCUCUGAGCAGAAGCUGCGUGUGGAGCUGCUCAGCGCCUCCAGCCUGCUGCCCCUGGACUCCAAUGGCUCCAGCGACCCCUUUGUCCAGCUGACCUUGGAGCCCAGGCAUGAGUUCCCUGAGCUGGCGGCCCGGGAGACCCAGAAGCACAAGAAGGACCUUCACCCAUUGUUUGAUGAGACCUUUGAAUUGUGAGUGGGUCCCGUUCUUCUCCUAGUCCCUCCCCUCAUCUCCCCCCACUGGGCUCCCUCAGGCCUGCUCCUCCUGGCUGGGGCCAAGGGGCUCCCCUGAGAUGGCCACAUUUGGGCCCAAGGGAUGGGGCACCUGGGACAAGAGUUUGCAGCUGGAUGUGGUGGCUCACACCUGUCAUCACAGCACUUUGGGAGGCCGAGGCAGGUGGAUCACUUGAGGUCAGGAGUUCAAGACCAGCCUGGCCAACAGUCUCUACUAAAAAUACAAAAUUAGCCAGGCAUGAUGGUGGGCACCUGUAAUCCCAGCUACUUGGGAGGCUGAGGCAGGAGAAUUGCUUAACCCAGGAGGCAGAGGCUGCUGAGAUG